AACGAACGCUGGCGGCAUGCCUAACACAUGCAAGUCGAACGAGACCUUCGGGUCUAGUGGCGCACGGGUGCGUAACGCGUGGGAAUCUGCCCUUGGGUUCGGGAUAACAGUUGGAAACGACUGCUAAUACCGGAUGACGUCUUCGGACCAAAGAUUUAUCGCCCAGGGAUGAGCCCGCGUCGGAUUAGCUAGUUGGUAGGGUAAAAGCCUACCAAGGCGACGAUCCGUAGCUGGUCUGAGAGGGUGAUCAGCCACACUGGGACUGAGACACGGCCCAGACUCCUACGGGAGGCAGCAGUGGGGAAUAUUGGACAAUGGGCGAAAGCCUGAUCCAGCAAUGCCGCGUGAGUGAUGAAGGCCUUAGGGUUGUAAAGCUCUUUUACCCGGGAUGAUAAUGACAGUACCGGGAGAAUAAGUCCCGGCUAACUCCGUGCCAGCCGCCGCAGUAA
rnacentral:rRNA from 1 species